CACGGCGAGUGAGCGGCAAAGCUCAAUUUGAAACCCUCGGGAUUGUAAUUUGAAGAUUUGGCAUUGGAGAAAGCUAACCCGAGUUGCUUGGAAUACUACGUCAUAGAGGGUGACAACCCCGUCUGGCUAACCGUUCUCCAUGUAUUGCCUUAUCGCACAGUCUAGUUGUUUGGGAAUGCGGCUCAUAGUGGGUGGUAAACUCCCUCUCAAGCUAAAUACUGGUGAGAGACCGAUAGCGAACAAGUACUGUGAAGGAAAGGUGAAAAGAACUUUGAAAAGAGAGUGAAAUAGUAUGUGAAAUUGUUGAUAGGGAAGGAAAUGAGUGGAGAGUGGCGGAGGUUUCAUCCGCCCCUCUUGGGCGGUGUACUGCCGACCCCUAGUCAUCCAAGGCGAGACGAUGGUUACAAAU
rnacentral:rRNA from 1 species